CCCAUGAUCAUCCUGGCCAGGCCCAAAGCUCUGAAAUUCCAUCUUGUGUGUGGGGACAAUUGGCCUCUGCCGCAAAUAAAGUGCCCAGCACCUCAGGGUGAUUCUGUGGUUCUUCACACAUCGUGAUGGACACAGCCUGUAAUUCUUGUUAAGUGAUCAACAUUUGGUUCCCUGUGAAAAAAAUAGACCUGCACACAAAUCACCUGAAAGACUGAUGGUAAUGACAAGAGAGCAGCUACAAAAAUAAAAGUUCUUAGCCAGAAAAUGGUUUAAUACAAUUUUUGGUCCUGUAUUUUUAACAUCAUUAAUCUCUUAAGAAGCCUAAAGAGUCACAGACUUCUCAAAUGGACUUUCCUACACGUUACGGAGAAUGCUGUAUGCCAUGGUGAUAUUUAAUAAUUAAGAAUUGAGAUUUUCCUCAGCCGAGAUGGAACAACCUCCUUUGCUGAGGUGGAAGAACCAGAUUAUUUCCUAUGGUUUUGGAGUUAUCCUCUGAAAGAAGGCUGGAUUUUGCUGCUUUAUGGUUUCUCCGAAACAGAACUUCCCGAGGCAGUUAGAGGGACUGACUUUUGACAUACAGGACUGAUUUUAUGGAUGAGACCAUUGCUUCACUGCUAAU